CAGCCGCCGCGGUAAUACCGGCGGCCCGAGUGGCGGCCACUAUUAUUGGGCCUAAAGCGUCCGUAGCCGGGCUGGUAAGUCCUCCGGGAAAUCUGGUCGCUUAACGAUCAGACUUCCGGAGGAUACUGCUGGCCUAGGGACCGGGAGAGGCCGAGGGUAUUCCCGGGGUAGGGGUGAAAUCCUGUAAUCCCGGGAGGACCACCUGUGGCGAAGGCGCUCGGCUGGAACGGGUCCGACGGUGAGGGACGAAGGCCAGGGGAGCGAACCGGAUUAGAUACCCGGGUAGUCCUGGCGGUAAACGAUGCGGACUUUGUGUCGGACAAGCUAUGAGCUUGUCCGGUGCCGGAGGGAAACCGUUAAGUCCGCCGCCUGGGGAGUACGGCCGCAAGGCUGAAACUUAAAGGAAUUGGCGGG
rnacentral:rRNA from 1 species